GUAUUAGUGCCAAUGAGACAACUCUCCAUCCAAGUCAAAAUUUAUAAAAGUAAACCAUUAUAGGUCACAGUACGGUCUUCAACACGGAUAUGUAUACACUGUAUUUAAAAGAAUGUUGAUGUUAUUACUGAUAAUAAUUGAUUACUUUUUACUGAGCUUUUUCCCAGGAGAUUCAGUAACUAAUAACAGGGAUACUUGGGCUAACGCUGUGAUCCGAGUAAAUUGUUAAAACAGCAGAUAUGUAAUAAAAGAUAUUUACUUUAAAAAAAAAAAAAAAAACAAAAACAAAAA